rnacentral:rRNA from 1 species
UACGGAGGAUCCAAGCGUUGUCCGGAUUCAUUGGGUUUAAAGGGUGCGUAGGCGGAGAAUUAAGUCAGUGGUGAAAGCUUACAGCUCAACUGUAAAAAAUGCCAUUGAAAACUGAUUUUUCUUGAGUGCGAUUGAGGUAGAUGGAAAUGUAUCAUGUAGCGGUGAAAAUGCUUAGAUAUGAUACAGAACACCAAUUGCGAAGGCAGUCUACUAAGUCGUUACUGACGCUGAGGCACGAAAGCAUGGGGAGCAAACAGG